AAACAACAGGGGAUUGCUCAGUAACGGCGAGUGAAGCGGCAAAGCUCAAAUUUGAAAUCCUUCGGGAGUUGUAAUUUGUAGGUUGGGAGACCCCGCGGCUAGUGGCACCAAGUCCCUUGGAACAGGGCGCCUUAGAGGGUGAGAGCCCCGUAGGUACCACAAUACCGUCUUGUGUCUCCUCUCCAAAGAGUCGAGUUGUUUGGGAAUGCAGCUCAAAGUGGGUGGUAAAUUCCAUCUAAAGCUAAAUACCGGCGAGAGACGAUAGCGAACAGUACAGUGAUGGAAAGAUGAAAAGCACUUUGAAAAGAGAGUGAAACAGUACGUGAAAAUUGUGAAAGGGACACGGCUUUGCAAAGCAGACACGGCCUUCGUGCCCGGGGCCCAGCCAUUCGGUUGCU
rnacentral:rRNA from 1 species